rnacentral:rRNA from 1 species
UGGGGAAUAUUGCACAAUGGGCGAAAGCCUGAUGCAGCAACGCCGCGUGCGGGAUGACGGCCUUCGGGUUGUAAACCGCUUUCAGCAGGGACGAAGGUUUUCUGACGGUACCUGCAGAAGAAGCACCGGCUAACUACGUGCCAGCAGCCGCGGUGAUACGUAGGGUGCGAGCGUUGUCCGGAAUUAUUGGGCGUAAAGAGCUUGUAGGCGGUCCGUUGCGUCGGAAGUGAAAACUCAGGGCUUAACCCUGAGCCUGCUUUCGAUACGGGCGGACUUGAGGGAUGUAGGGGAGAACGGAAUUCCUGGUGGAGCGGUGGAAUGCGCAGAUAUCAGGAGGAACACCAGUGGCGAAGGCGGUUCUCUGGACAUUUCCUGACGCUGAGAAGCGAAAGCGUGGGGAGCAAACAGGCUUAGAUACCCUGGUAGUCCACGCCGUAAACGGUGGGCACUAGGUGUGGGACCCAUUCCACGGGUUCCGUGCCGUAGCUAACGCAUUAAGUGCCCCGCCUGGGGAGUACGGCCGCAAGGCUAAAACUUAAAUGAAUUGACGGGGUCAUGAGCUGUUU